UACGUAGGGUGCGAGCGUUGUCCGGAAUUAUUGGGCGUAAAGAGCUCGUAGGCGGCUUGUCGCGUCGGAUGUGAAAGCCCGGGGCUUAACUCCGGGUCUGCAUUCGAUACGGGCAGGCUAGAGUUCGGUAGGGGAGAUCGGAAUUCCUGGUGUAGCGGUGAAAUGCGCAGAUAUCAGGAGGAACACCGGUGGCGAAGGCGGAUCUCCGGGCCUUACCUGACGCUGAGGCGCGAAAGCUAGGGGAGCAAACAGG
rnacentral:rRNA from 1 species